UACGUAGGCAGCGAGCGUUGUUCGGAAUUACUGGGCGUAAAGAGUGUGUAGGCGGUGCUCUAAGUUCGGUGUGAAAUCUCCUGGCUCAACUGGGAGGGUGCGCCGGAAACUGGAGUGCUUGAGCGUGGGAGAGGAAAGCGGAAUUCCUGGUGUAGCGGUGAAAUGCGUAGAUAUCAGGAGGAACACCUGUGGCGAAGGCGGUUCUCUGGGCCUUACCUGACGCUGAGGAGCGAAAGCGUGGGGAGCAAACAGG
rnacentral:rRNA from 1 species